rnacentral:tRNA from 1 species
GGGGUAAAAGGCCUAAGGACGUUGGCCUGCGAAGCCAAUUUUCGGGAGUUCGAAUCUCCUCGAGCCCG